GACGAACGCUGGCGGCGUGCUUAACACAUGCAAGUCGAACGGAAAGGCCCUGCUUUUGUGGGGUGCUCGAGUGGCGAACGGGUGAGUAUCACGUGAGUAUCCUGCCCCUGUCUUUGGGAUAACUUCAGGAAACUGGGGCUCUUACAGGAUAGGAGCUAUUGCUGCACGGUGGGGGUUGGUAAGUUUCGGCGGUGGGGGCUGGACUCGCGGCUUAUCAGCUUGUUGGUGGGGUAGUGGCUGACAAGGGCUUUGACGGGUAGCCGGCCUGGGAGGGUGACCGGCCACAUUGGGACUGAGAGACGGCCCAGACUCCAACGGGAGGCAGCGGUGGGGAAUAUUGCACAGUGGGCGGAAGCCUGAUGCAGCAGCGCCGCGUGCGGGAUGACGGCCUUCGAGUUGUAAACCGCUUUCGCCUGUGACGAGGCGUGAGUGACGGUAAUGGGUAAAGAAGCACCGGCUAACUACGUG
rnacentral:rRNA from 1 species